rnacentral:rRNA from 1 species
AGAGUUUGAUUCUGGCUCAGGACGAACGCUGGCGGCGUGCUUAACACAUGCAAGUCGAACGGAGUGCCCCUGAAAGAGUUUUCGGACAAUGGAUGGGAACACUUAGUGGCGGACUGGUGAGUAACGCGUGAGGAACCUGCCUUCCAGAGGGGGACAACAGUUGGAAACGACUGCUAAUACCGCAUGAUACAUUUGAAUCGCAUGGUUUGAAUGUCAAAGAUUUAUCGCUGGAAGAUGGCCUCGCGUCUGAUUAGCUAGUUGGUGAGGUAACGGCCCACCAAGGCGACGAUCAGUAGCCGGACUGAGAGGUUGGCCGGCCACAUUGGGACUGAGAUACGGCCCAGACUCCUACGGGAGGCAGCAGUGGGGAAUAUUGGGCAAUGGACGCAAGUCUGACCCAGCAACGCCGCGUGAAGGAAGAAGGCUUUCGGGUUGUAAACUUCUUUUAAGGGGGAAGAGCAGAAGACGGUACCCCUUGAAUAAGCCACGGCUAACUACGUGCCAGCAGCCGCGGUAAUACGUAGGUGGCAAGCGUUGUCCGGAUUUACUGGGUGUAAAGGGCGUGCAGCCGGAGAGACAAGUCAGAUGUGAAAUCCGCAGGGCUCACCUGCGAACUGCAUUUGAAACUGUUUCCCUUGA